CAGGACGAACGCUGGCGGCGUGCCUAAUACAUGCAAGUCGAGCGAAAGGAUGGGAGCUUGCUCCCUGACUUUAGCGGCGGACGGGUGAGUAACACGUGGGCAACCUGCCUAUAAGACUGGGAUAACUUCGGGAAACCGGAGCUAAUACCGGAUACGUUCUUCCUUCGCAUGAAGGAAGAUGGAAAGACGGUUUCGGCUGUCACUUAUAGAUGGGCCCGCGGCGCAUUAGCUAGUUGGUGAGGUAAUGGCUCACCAAGGCGACGAUGCGUAGCCGACCUGAGAGGGUGAUCGGCCACACUGGGACUGAGACACGGCCCAGACUCCUACGGGAGGCAGCAGUAGGGAAUCUUCCGCAAUGGACGAAAGUCUGACGGAGCAACGCCGCGUGAACGAAGAAGGCCUUCGGGUCGUAAAGUUCUGUUGUUAGGGAAGAACAAGUACCAGAGUAACUGCUGGUACCUUGACGGUACCUAACCAGAAAGCCACGGCUAACUACGUGCCAGCAGCCGCGGUAAUACGUAGGUGGCAAGCGUUGUCCGGAAUUAUUGGGCGUAAAGCGCGCGCAGGUGGUUCCUUAAGUCUGAUGUGAAAGCCCACGGCUCAACCGUGGAGGGUCAUUGGAAACUGGGGGACUUGAGUGCAGAAGAGGAAAGUGGAAUUCCAAGUGUAGCGGUGAAAUGCGUAGAGAUUUGGAGGAACACCAGUGGCGAAGGCGAC
rnacentral:rRNA from 1 species